CUGACUUCCUGUACACAUUGCUUCUGGAAGGGCUGAAAUUGCGCCAAAAAAUCGUGAGAUGUUUAUGUGUUUAGCAGCUGGCUUGUUUGGAAUAUCUAUCCAGCUCAAAAAUGGCUCCAGUGGUUAGAAACGGGUAUUGGCAUGGCAGAAUGGUUUUAUGGAAACUUCAAGCAUAUUGCAGCUUAAUUUUCUUCCACAAGGCUGUGAGACCAGGUUGCAGGUGAUGCUAAAGUACAGAUCUACAGCACCAGUUGACGUACAGCCAACACUUACAGUGUCUACUUCAUUGUCAAAAGAAAUGUUUCUGUGCCUCCUUUGUUAAAAACAGCUGGCUUGUUCGGAAUAUCUAUCCAGCUCAAAAAUGGCUCCAGCGGUUAGAAACAGGUGUUGGAUGGCAGAAUGGUUUUAUGGAAACUUCAAGCAUAUUACAGCUUAAUUUUCUUCCACAAGGCUGUGAGACCAGGUUGCAGGUGAUGCUAAAGUACAGAUCUACAGCACCAGGUGACAUACAGCCAACACUUACAGUGUCUACUUCAUUGUCAAAAGAAAUGUUUCUGUGCCUCCUUUGUUAAAAACAGUUCUUUUAACAGACUUUGCAUUUUACGUGCACACUCCUGGGCUCCUUUCAGCCGACUUUGCUUUAUUCUUCAACAAAGGAUGCCAAAAGAACAAAACAAAUCUGAUCUAGCAAUGUGAAGCGAGAGGUUUUCACCUCAACUGCGUCUGCUGACAUCCAGGCUGCAAAUUGAUUUUGUUUUAUAUACAGAUGUUCAAGCACUGGACAAAAUGUCUACAUGAAACAUUUCUCCGUUACAUCAGCCCAGAUGUUUAACAGCUGGAGUACGUACGUGUGCUUUGUGCAACUCUGCUGCUCUCACAACUUGUGUACCCAUGGAAAGGGAUUGUCCUUGGCGUUCCUGUUUCUGAUAUCUGUUCUAUUAAUAAAGCUGUGACUUAUCUUA